rnacentral:rRNA from 1 species
GUCGUAACAAGGUUUCCGUAGGUGAACCUGCGGAAGGAUCAUUACCUAGAGUUGUAGGCUUUGCCUGCUAUCUCUUACCCAUGUCUUUUAAGUACCUUACGUUUCCUCGGCGGGUCCGCCCGCCGAUUGGACAAUUUAAACCAUUUGCAGUUGCAAUCAGCGUCUGAAAAAACUUAAUAGUUACAACUUUCAACAACGGAUCUCUUGGUUCUGGCAUCGAUGAAGAACGCAGCGAAAUGCGAUAAGUAGUGUGAAUUGCAGAAUUCAGUGAAUCAUCGAAUCUUUGAACACACAUUGCGCCCCUUGGUAUUCCAUGGGGCAUGCCUGUUCGAGCGUCAUUUGUACCUUCAAGCUCUGCUUGGUGUUGGGUGUUUGUCUCGCCUCUGCGUGUAGACUCGCCUCAAAACAAUUAGCAGCCGGCGUAUUGAUUUCGGAGCGCAGUACAACUCGCGCUUUGCACUCAUAACGACGACGUCCAAAAGUACAUUUUUACACUCUUGACCUCGGAUCAGGUAGGGAUACCCGCUGAACUUAAGCAUAUCA